rfam:Saprolegnia parasitica CBS 223.65 unplaced genomic scaffold supercont2.56, whole genome shotgun sequence.
GCCCCUAUAGCUCAGUGGUAGAGCACCUCCUUAGUAAGGAGAAGGUCCGUGGUUCAAUCCCGCGUGGGGGCA